rnacentral:rRNA from 1 species
AGUCGAGCGAGCUUGCCUAGAUGAUUUUAGUGCUUGCACUAAAUGAAACUAGAUACAAGCGAGCGGCGGACGGGUGAGUAACACGUGGGUAACCUGCCCAAGAGACUGGGAUAACACCUGGAAACAGAUGCUAAUACCGGAUAACAACACUAGACGCAUGUCUAGAGUUUGAAAGAUGGUUCUGCUAUCACUCUUGGAUGGACCUGCGGUGCAUUAGCUAGUUGGUAAGGUAACGGCUUACCAAGGCAAUGAUGCAUAGCCGAGUUGAGAGACUGGUCGGCCACAUUGGGACUGAGACACGGCCCAAACUCCUACGGGAGGCAGCAGUAGGGAAUCUUCCACAAUGGACGAAAGUCUGAUGGAGCAACGCCGCGUGAGUGAAGAAGGGUUUCGGCUCGUAAAGCUCUGUUGGUAGUGAAGAAAGAUAGAGGUAGUAACUGGCCUUUAUUUGACGGUAAUUACUUAGAAAGUCACGGCUAACUACGUGCCAGCAGCCGCGGUAAUACGUAGGUGGCAAGCGUUGUCCGGAUUUAUUGGGCGUAAAGCGAGUGCAGGCGGUUCAAUAAGUCUGAUGUGAAAGCCUUCGGCUCAACCGGAGAAUUGCAUCAGAAACUGUUGAACUUGAGUGCAGAAGAGGAGAGUGGAACUCCAUGUGUAGCGGUGGAAUGCGUAGAUAUAUGGAAGAACACCAGUGGCGAAGGCGGCUCUCUGGUCUGCAACUGACGCUGAGGCUCGGAAGCAUGGGUAGCGAACAGGAUUAAAUACCCUGGUAGUCCAUGCCGUAAACGAUGAGUGCUAAGUGU